UCAUUCUUUCUCUUCUGUCUCUCGUCUGUUUAACCAGGAGAAAGUCUCUCCGUCUUUGCUUUAUUUUAUAUUGAAUUUUGCUCAUGUUUACUAUUUAAUCUAACCUCGGGGCAACUUGGAAUUGUGAGUUUUACAGUCAACUAAACAUCAUGAAAAUAAGUUACCAAUGAUCAAAUGGAAAGAGACAAGUCAACUCUUUUCAAUGUCUACUUAUAAUUUGUGUUCACAGACUUUGUCAAUCUUAUUGAAAUCUCUUUUUUACUUUUUUCUGUUUCCCUGUGAAAUUAACAAUCAACAUGCUCAUGUAGUUCAUCAUUUCACUUUCUAAAUCAUUAUCUUGGAAGACAAACAAAAACCAAAAAACGCCAUUUCAAUUAGAUUUUUAGCUUUCUUAACCAACCCCUUGGAGCAGUUUGAACUUAAACAAUUUUCCCUUAUUUAACAAAGCAAAUAACAAUGAUUCAUCGUAAAGUAAUGCGUCUUAAUGUGCAACUAGAUAUUUUAUGUAAUUGUUUUUUUGUUUCAAUAAUUGUUUAAAACCACCAAUUAUAACUGGAUUAAAAUUGAUAUUUAAAAGUAUAUUAAACAAGUGAAAAAUGGUCAUCUUACCACCACCAUCAUCAUCUUAAAAUAUAAUCUGUUUUUUAGGUGUGAUAGAAAGCAUGGUUGCCUUAAGGGUUUAUCGUGUUAACCCAACCUCAGUUUUAAGACAUCUCGUAACAACUCUUAUUUAACCUUUUGGUUUUAGGUGUUGUCGACGUUAAUAAUUAUCAUUAAGAAUGUUUAAACUGUAAUCAAAUAGUUGCUAAAUAUUGCUCCAAGUAAAAUACAAUUUAAAUAAUUGUGUACUUUCAUCUUUAACUUGCCAUCAACGCACAAAUUUUUUCAAGUCUUCACUUUUCAAUCGCUUAGUCAACGUAAAAAUCUAUUUUACUGUAAACAACAAUUUAUAUCGUUAAUUUAUCGUUAAUUUAUCUUGAUGGUAAUAAGCAAUUGGUUAUUCAAAUAAUGCUUAAUUUGGCUUAUCAACAUCAUAUUAUUUCGCUUGUGGAUUUACAUUUUGUUUGGACUAACAAGCCUUUCCACUUCUUUUAAGGAUUUGUUGAAAGUAGAGCUUCAAAUCGAUGGUUGUUAAGUAUGUUUUUGGUUAACAAAUAAUUAGUUAAUUUGUUCCUUUAAAAAGGCAUAAAUGGAUUAUCAAAAUUUACAAAAAAGGGAUUGGUCUUGAAUGCUGUUGAAAAGAGAGGAAAAAAUAUGAAUACAAUUGGAUGGAAGAAAAUUUAUCCUCAUCUUUUUGGUUUCUCUAACAUCUUACAAUCUUCUCAUUUAUUUUCAUCUUCAACAUCAUGAUUGUGAAUAAGUUAUGACAAGAUAUCAAAUUGAUCUGGAAGGCUUAACACUGUCACAAUCAAUAAAAAGUUUUCUCCGUUUUUCAAGUUGAUAAUAGAUCUUGAACAACAACUUUGAUACAGUAUAAAUUUAUCAUCCAUUCCUGCUCCUCCUCACCAUCACCAGCAUCACCAGAGUUGAUCAUUUUUUACAUUCUGACACCAAACAUGAUCCUUUCCAUUCUCUAAAUUACACUUCACUUGACAAUCAAUUGAAACCAGCUAAAAAACAAUCCAAUAAUAAUGAUAAUCAUCAUUUUCAACAAUUUAGUUUAAAAUGAACUCAAUCAACUUUAAUCUUUAUCAAAUGCUUCAUUUGUCAUCUCAGUGCACAACAACAAAUGAUAAUAAUAAUUCCAAUGGUAAAAUAAUUUCACAGGUUGAUUUAACGUUAAAUGGCUAGGAAAGAACCAGUUAAGCUUGGUUAAUCAAUAUGCUGAUAAUUAAAUAAAUGGACGCUAUGGAGGUGAAGAGCAUAGCUUUAGCAUUUACCUUUCACGAUCAAUCGUAAUCAAUCUUUGCCAACUUUACGCUUUUCAAUUUAACAUGGAAACAAAAUCUGGCCAAUCUCAAUAUUUUCAUAACAAAAGCGAUUAAUAAUUAGCCACCAUUUUCCGAUUAUACUCCAAGUGUUCAUUGUCCAGUUUACUUGAAGGAUUACCUUUUCUUAGCUCACCCUAUUAUUACAAAUAAUCAGUCAUCUUGACAAUAAUGAAUGUUGAAUGUCAUGUAAGUUUUACUAUGAAUAUUAAUAUUAGCCUGAUUGCAGAACCAGGUAAGAUUACCUGAGCCUGAGUCGAUGAUAUAAUUGCCUAUUAUACAGUCAAUUUCUAGUCAAUCUUUUUCAUGCUACUUACUGUAGUGAUCAUGCAACAAUCUAAUCAAAAUAUCUUCCAUUCUACCUCUUUCCUAUUCUUAAUCAUCUUUUCUCGUCAUCUUCACCAUCAUAUAUUUCAUUUAGAUUGAAUAGAGAAAAUUAAUUUCAAUCAUAAUUUCAUUAAACAGACCGAUAAUUAUCAAUUACAAUAAUCUAA